rnacentral:snoRNA from 1 species
GGGUAUGAUGCGUUGACAUCGACAUAGCAAUUUGCGAUUGACUCACUUCGUGAUCAUGAUACCAUUAUUUACCUUCUGAU